rnacentral:rRNA from 1 species
AGCGAACGCUGNGCGGCAGGCCUAAUACAUGCAAGUCGAGCGCACCUUCGGGUGAGCGGCGGACGGGUGAGUAACGCGUGGGAACGUGCCCUUUGGUACGGGAUAACUGAGGGAAACUUCAGCUAAUACCGUAUGUGCCCUACGGGGGAAAGAUUUAUCGCCAUCGGAGCGGCCCGCGUUGGAUUAGGUAGUUGGUGGGGUAAAGGCCCACCAAGCCGACGAUCCAUAGCUGGUCUGAGAGGAUGAUCAGCCACACUGGGACUGAGACACGGCCCAGACUCCUACGGGAGGCAGCAGUAGGGAAUCUUGCGCAAUGGGCGAAAGCCUGACGCAGCCAUGCCGCGUGAAUGAUGAAGGUCUUAGGAUUGUAAAAUUCUUUCACCGGGGAAGAUAAUGACGGUACCCGGAGAAGAAGCCCCGGCUAACUUCGUGCCAGCAGCCGCGGUAAUACGAAGGGGGCUAGCGUUGCUCGGAAUUACUGGGCGUAAAGGGCGCGUAGGCGGAUGUUUAAGUCGGGGGUGAAAGCCCGGGGCUCAACCUCGGAAUUGCCUUCGAUACUGGACAUCUUGAGUACGGGAGAGGUGAGUGGAACUCCGAGUGUAGAGGUGAAAUUCGUAGAUAUUCGGAAGAACACCAGUGGCGAAGGCGACUCACUGGCCCGUUACUGACGCUGAGGCGCG